GAUUUGAGCUUGUCUUCUUUCGCCCCCUUUGGCAUCCCUCUCUUGGCCAGGCUCUGUCUCAGUGUGUAAGCCAUUUGCACCAUCCUCCAGGCUUCUGUUAUCCAUUGAUCCAGGAAGCUCAAUGUCAUUCCGGAUGUUCGAUGAGAUACUUGGAGAUUCUGCUGGCUCUGCUGGUCCCUUGCUCUCAGGGAUGAUUGUGGUUACCUGCACACUUGAGAAUGGGAAAGAAUCCCAUGAGUGGACACUUGGGUCUAGAGACUGCAUCAAUGAAACAAAAACCAACACGACAUGAACUACUAAUAUAAUUUUGUUAUGUUCCUUGUUUUUUUGUGAGUUUUUUCCCCCCAUGAAAGUAGAGAUGAUUGCUGGGACAGCAAAGGUAUGACUUUCAAAUGUCUCCACAUCAAGCAUUUAAGUCCUUUCUGUGUUCACAGAUCAUUAUUUAUUAUCUGUUGGGCAUCAGUACAAAAUGAAUAAAGUCUGUGGCUAUAGUUUAC